UUAUGUGUGUGUUUGGUCGUGAUUUACAGGAGCCAAGAAAAGGGCUCUUACAAAGCCCUAAAACUCACAAGAAAUCCAACAAAAAUCGAAGAUAGAACAAGCUAAAAAUUGGGGCUUUUAAUAAAUUUGUGAUCACCCAAGCUAGAAGAUUGCAAGGUAGGAGCUUGGAAAUGAACGGGUCAAAUGGAUACAAGUUCAAGUAUGAAGCUCGCAAGGAUGCAAGUUUGACUCUGACAAGCUAGGUAGGAGCUUGGAAAUGAACGGGUCAAAUGGAUACAAGUUCAAGUAUGAAGCUCGCAAGGAUGCAAGGUAAGUAUAACUUACACUAGUCAUAUAUUUUAGAAUGUUCUUUUGUCGUAUUGACUACGAAUAAGACAAAUGGUAAUUUAGUCACACGUUGACAAUAAUCGUUAGUUUUAAAAGACGCUUUCCCGCGUAAGACAUAAAGAGCCGAAAGUGGUAAUAAACGGUUUAUAAAUAAAAUGAGCAUACGGUGUUAAAAGGAACGAGUCAUGUAGAUGAGAUGAUAAUAAAUAUUAUCUCGCAAAGAUAAACGGUCAAUUCGGCCAAGCGGGUCAAAAGGUGUAGACAUCACCUUUUGACAAUAUCGACUAAUGAUUCUGGUGUCGAGUUAUAUGUUUACAGGAGUAGAUAUCCAAUGGAUACUCGCAUCGCUCUUAAUUAGCAAUUAUAGAGCAAGGUAUUAAACCGGGUUAGUAAGUUGAUCCGAGCCAGGUACAUUUUGGAUGCCGGAAGACGAUUAAGCUCAUUGGAGAACCGAACACGAUAAAGAUACAUGCUUCCGCACAGUGUCCCGUCGUAAAUUUUAAACGACGAAUUCAAUUACGUUAUGUCGAAUAACUUAUGAUUUGUAAAAGUUUUAAUAAACCCAUAUUUUUAUAGUAUGUGUAGUCUUAUCUACACAACUAAUUGUUGGUAAUUAUAUGUAAAACCGUUA
rnacentral:lncRNA from 1 species